rnacentral:rRNA from 1 species
UACGUAGGGGGCAAGCGUUAUCCGGAUUUACUGGGUGUAAAGGGAGCGUAGACGGAAUUGCAAGUCUGAUGUGAAAGUCCGGGGCCCAACCCCGGAACUGCAUUGGAAACUGUAUUUCUAGAGUGUCGGAGAGGCAAGUGGAAUUCCUGGUGUAGCGGUGAAAUGCGUAGAUAUCAGGAGGAACACCAGUGGCGAAGGCGGCUUGCUGGACGAUGACUGACGUUGAGGCUCGAAAGCGUGGGGAACAAACAGG